UUUUUUUCACCCUUUCCCAGGGGUAAACUGAAAGACAAAAGACCAUUUUCAGAACAAGUGUGCCUGCUCACGCAAAGACUAACCUCUAAGAAAGGAGCAGGCCCGGAGGUGAGGCCCCCUGGGCGUGAAAGAAUCAACCCCAGUCCACAAAGUCCGGAGAUGAGACAUCCUGCCUGGAGGAGGGAGCCCUGUGCAUCGCAGGAUCAAAGAAGCCAAACAGGAUCUUUAGUGGUGACCGAAAAUGCUCAUGAGGAGAAAGGCUGCAUGGCAUUAAGUGAACCCCAUUGAAAGGGCCCAGUGAACAGAGCCCCUGGACAUUGCCGGAAGGAAAGGAGAAAGCCCAGCAAAGCACACAACGUAUCAGGCUUUUCAUGUGUCAUUGGGUGAAAGGGAGUCACAUGGGCCAAGGAGGGGAAGCAGGUGUCAUCAGAGCAGUUCCACAGCCCUCUAGGCACAGUAACAGGCAUGCUUUCUGUCCUUCUCUCCUUUUAGAUUGUAAGCUACCCAAAGUCCAUCUCCAUGGGUUUUUUUCCUUAUGUGCAAACUACCAUAUGACAGGUGUGCCUGACAAUAACUCAGGUAUAGCUGAGAAUGAUCCUGUAGUCCAAGAAUGUUGGUUCUGAGCUCUGAACUAAGGAAUCUGGGAGCUGCCAACCCAGAGGUUUACUCCUUAUCUAUGGAGCAUAGGUGAACCCCUGGCCCAUUUCUUGGAACAGCAUGUGCGGGGAACCAAGGCCCUUUGUUUUGAGCUAGGUGGAGGUGGCCAGGUAGAGGUCGCCAGGAAGAGGUGGCCAGGUGGAGGUUGCUAAGCAAAGAUUGCUAUAUUAACUGGGUGCUUUUUAGAAACCAUAGUGGUUACCCCAUUCAUCCAGCCACUCCUGGACUCCCUGUACGUUUAAGUUGCCCAAUAAAACUUAUGUCUUGCUCGCUGUCUCUGGGUCUUUUC
rnacentral:lncRNA from 1 species